GGCUGUACCCUGCUCUGUGCUUUUUAGGGAUAGUCUCACCCUGGAACUGUACUUGAGAAGUGGUUAUGGAUGGAUGGAUGGAUGGAUGGAUAUGUUAUUUUUCUGUUUUGGCUGCUGGGAUUUCAGAAAUGUACAACAUGGAUGAUAAAAUAAAUUUUUCACAAUUAGUAUGUUUUUAGGAACAUAUGAUAAAAUGUUCAACUCAAACAUUUAGGGAUAUACUUUUCAUACCACAAUGUUCAAUAAGGAAUUCAAACCCAGAACCCGCAGGUGACAGCUCCGUGCAGGACCAGUGAACGCAUGUGUGUUUGUACUCUGUCUGACAUGAAUUUCAUGGUGACUGACUCUAUUCUUACAUUAUUUUAGCUGCUGCCAGUGUUUUUCUGGCAAAAUAUUAUUCUGAUUCAACUUUGAAAGGACAACUUGGAACAUUUGUCACUUUAUUAAUGUUUCCAGUCAUCAUGGUUUUAUUCCCAGUUGGUCUCGGUGUGUUUCGGAUAAUACGCUCCCGAAGGAUGGGAGAAACAGUACGACUUAGAGACAUUCUUGAAAUCAUGGCUUAUUUCAUGCAUCGUCCAAUACUAUUUAACAUGCUGAUCCUUGUUAUUUAUUUCGAACUCUUGUCCUGGAUUAACAACAUUUUUAAAUUGG